CACCGUCUAGAGCGAGAAGGACAAGAUCCCGGAAAAGCUCGAAGAAGCGAGCAGAGCACACAGACAAAAGAGAGGGAAUUUUGAUUGUCACCGCCAAUGGCCGGGAAAGGUGGAGCAACUCCGAGCACGUACUCGCCGUCUCCGACUACCCAGAAGACUAAAUCACUAAGCUUUGGAAACGACGAAGUUCUCCGACCCGAUGACCGUGAAUGGCACCAAUGCAGACCUGCCUUUUUCCAGAUUGGUGUUGUAGCUGCUGCUGCCGGAUCUGCUUAUGCAGAUUUUGGAAGCACCAAGGUCAUUGUUUCUGUAUUUGGGCCAAGAGAGAGUAAGAAGGCAAUGAUGUACAGUGAUAUAGGACGUUUAAAUUGCAAUGUCAGCUAUACAACUUUUGCUACCCCAGUUCGUGGACAGGAGUCGGACCACAAAGAGUUUUCUUCAAUGCUUCAUAAAGCUUUGGAGGGUGCAAUAAUAUUGGAAACUUUCCCCAAGACUACUGUGGAUGUUUUUGCAUUGGUGUUGGAAUCUGGGGGCAGUGAUCUUCCUGUAGUGAUAUGAUGUGCUAGCCUUGCCCUAGCAGAUGCAGGGAUAAUGAUGUAUGACCUUGUUACGUCAGUUUCAAUGUCUUGUUUGGGAAAGAACCUUGUCCUUGAUCCUACUUUGGAGGAGGAAAGCUACCAAGAUGGAAGCUUAAUACUUACUUGUAUGCCUUCUCGCGACGAGGUCACUCAACUAACCAUUACUGGGGAAUGGUCCACCCCGAAAAUUAAUGAGGGAAUGAAGAUUUGUAUGGAUGCCUGCUCAAAGUUUUCACAGAUCAUGAAGUCAUGCUUGAAAGGACUUGAUUCUGCUUUGGAAGAAGAUGAUAGUAAUGUUGAUUAGCUAUUAUCAUUAUUUUAUAUUAUAUGAAUCAAAUUUUGACUAUAUAGGAGAAAGAUUUAACCCUGAGUUAUCUGAGAGCUUUUUGUUAGUGUUGGGCCAGAUUUUUCUUGUAUAUUACUUCAUCUAGUCUUAAACUUAGCUGUUUUUCCAACUUUGAUUGGCAGUCCAUGGUACAUCACAGCAUAUAGCAGCACUUCCUGAUUUGAUUAGGCCCCUCCUUUUAUAACAGCACAAUGACAUCGUAUAGGAUCCUCUUCUUUGGCCAUCCUUUGUCUCUCUCCCAUAUUACUGUUGUGUACUGAAAUGUUAUUAUC